rnacentral:rRNA from 1 species
UACGUAGGGUCCGAGCGUUGUCCGGAAUUAUUGGGCGUAAAGAGCUCGUAGGCGGUUUGUCGCGUCUGCCGUGAAAGUCCGGGGCUCAACUCCGGAUCUGCGGUGGGUACGGGCAGACUAGAGUGCGGUAGGGGAGAAUGGAAUUCCUGGUGUAGCGGUGAAAUGCGCAGAUAUCAGGAAGAACACCCGUGGCGAAAGCGGAUCUCUGGACCAGUUCUGACACUGAUGAGCGAAAGCCAGGGGAGCAAACAGG